rnacentral:lncRNA from 1 species
AUAGUUACAAAUUACAAUGUUUCACCAAUUAAUUAAAUAUGUAUCUAUUAUUAAUUUAACCAAUUGUAAAAAGUAGAAUUAUCCUUAUCCUUAUCUACACACACACACACACACACACACACUUCCUCUUCAACACUAAUUUUCAGUUGCUCUCUCGCCACCUCCUUCACAGACCACCAUAAUAUCGAAAUAGGCCGAGACGUCGGAAGCAGAAGAAGAACAAUAAGGCAUCAUAAGCUUUAGCUGCUAGAGAUGAUAGCGACACUGCAGUUGAGGAUAGGUGUUUUUUAAAAAACCAGAAACACUUCUUGAUUUCUUUUAAAUCAUAUCUAAAUCCCUCUUCAUCUAUGUAACCCACUAUUGAAAUGGAUAGCUUAGCAGUAAACCGCUUUAUGGAAUUGAAAGAAGAAGAAACCCAUAAGAAAUUGGGAGAUGGAGCAAAAGGGACAGCAUGAACAGGAUGAAAUGACAGUGAAAUACCUGAUAAAGAGUACAUGGAGGCUGAUUUUGAUUCUAAAGCUAGGGCUGAACUCGAUUUUGACUCCAAAGUUAAGGUAUGUUUAUGCGUGUGCAUGUG